GACGAAGGGGGCUAGCGUUGUUCGGAAUUACUGGGCGUAAAGCGCGCGUAGGCGGUUCUUCAAGUCAGGCGUGAAAGCCCCGGGCUUAACCCGGGAAUAGCGCUUGAUACUGUGGGACUUGAGUCCGGGAGAGGAUAGUGGAAUUCCCAGUGUAGAGGUGAAAUUCGUAGAUAUUGGGAAGAACACCGGUGGCGAAGGCGGCGAGCUGGUCCAUUACUGACGCUGAGGCGCGACAGCGUGGGGAGCAAACAGG
rnacentral:rRNA from 1 species